CCACACUUCGUCCUCUACAAAGUCAAGGGCAUCUGAGAGGAGCAUCUCAGUGAAGCUUCAAAAUCGCUGUGUUUUCAGAUCCUGGUUCUCAGAAGAAUAGAGCAUGGAUACAAUCUACUGUAGAAUUUCAGAUGAUGGUCCGGGAGCUUUACGGGUGGGCAUCAAUUUCUACUUUCUCAGAGUGUUAGUGGUUCGACUGUAACACCAUUGCAACAGAAGCUCCAAAACAUGUGGGAAGCCUUAGAGCUGAGAUGACCCUUCAGAGAUUUUCUAAAGUGGCCUGGACCUUUGCACCACUGCACCGGCCAGUCAUUGGGUGAAACCUGCCUCUAGGAAGAAAGUACAAACUUGGAUGAGGCAAUUUCCUUCAGCCAAAGAAAACUGCUAGAAAGGGACUCAGUUGUAAUUAGCAGCCAAUACUCCCAGCCACUAGGGAAUGGGUAUUCUUUUACUUUAGAGGGUAUCUGAGUGACACCUUAUUCCAUUCACUAUAGGGAGGUAUUGGGAUUUUUCAAGCAAAAUAUUGAAAUUAUCUUAUCUCAUAAGCAUCAUUCUGGCUUCUCUAUGAGUAUGUAGGGUAUCAAAAAUAGAAAUAGUGGGACCCCUUAUAGGCCAUUUUAAUAAUCAAGGUAAGAGAAAUUGUGGUUUGGAUAAAGAUGGUAGCAAUGGAUGUGGUGAGAAGUGGUAAAAACAUGAAUGUAUUUUGAUAUAGAGCCAGGAAGAUUUAGAGAUAACUGGAUGUGGCAAGUGAACAAAAAUGACAUGGCUGACUCGAGUUUAUGAGCCACCUGGAUAGGUGGAAUUAUUAUCUGAGAAUGGGAAGUCUGCAGGCUUAGCACAUUUUAGAAGGAAGUUCAGGGAAGCCAUCUAGAACAUCCGAGUAGAGAUGGAAGAAGAUAGUUAUACAUCUGAGUUUGAGAAAUAGGUAAGGGUUAAUCAUACUUACUUGCAGUAAAUGAGGCCUUCUUGC
rnacentral:lncRNA from 13 species